rnacentral:rRNA from 1 species
GACGGAGGGUGCAAGCGUUGCUCGGAAUCAUUGGGCGUAAAGGGUGCGUAGGCGGUCUCGUAAGUCUGGUGUGAAAGCCCAAGGCUCAGCCUUGGAAGUGCGCUCGAAACGGCGAGGCUGGAGUGCCGAAGGGGAGAGUGGAAUUCCCGGUGUAGCGGUGAAAUGCGUAGAGAUCGGGAGGAAUACCGGUGGCGAAAGCGACUCUCUGGACGGCAACUGACGCUGAGGCACGAAAGCGUGGGGAGCAAACAGG